UACGUAGGGUGCGAGCGUUGUCCGGAAUUAUUGGGCGUAAAGAGCUCGUAGGCGGCUUGUUGCGUCGGAUGUGAAAGCCCGGGGCUUAACCCCGGGUCUGCAUUCGAUACGGGCAGGCUGGAGUUCGGUAGGGGAGAUCGGAAUUCCUGGUGUAGCGGUGAAAUGCGCAGAUAUCAGGAGGAACACCGAUGGCGAAGGCAGAUCUCUGGGCCGUAACUGACGCUGAGGAGCGAAAGCGUGGGGAGCGAACAGG
rnacentral:rRNA from 1 species